UACGUAGGGUGCGAGCGUUAAUCGGAAUUACUGGGCGUAAAGCGUGCGCAGGCGGCUUCGCAAGUCAGACGUGAAAUCCCCGGGGUUAACCUGGGAAUGGCGUUUGAAACUACGGAGCUGGAGUGUGGCAGAGGGAGGUAGAAUUCCACGUGUAGCGGUGAAAUGCGUAGAUAUGUGGAGGAAUACCGAUGGCGAAGGCAGCCUCCUGGGCCAACACUGACGCUCAUGCACGAAAGCGUGGGGAGCAAACAGG
rnacentral:rRNA from 1 species